rnacentral:rRNA from 1 species
UACGUAAGGACCGAGCGUUGUCCGGAAUCAUUGGGCGUAAAGGGUACGUAGGUGGUUAGAAAAGUUAGAAGUGAAAGGCUAUAGCUCAACUAUAGUACGCUUUUAAAACUGUUUAACUUGAGAUAUGGAAGGGACAGUGGAAUUCCUAGUGUAGCGGUGAAAUGCGCAGAUAUUAGGAGGAAUACCGAUGGCGAAAGCGGCUCGCUGG